ACUUCCAGAAGAUUCCAAGAUCGUCUGAUCUUCUUGUGAUUGGUUGAAAACUAGAUCCACGAAGCUGCGCUUCCACUUAUGAAAGACAAUGAAGGCAGAUGAUUCUUGCUAAAUAGCCAAUAUUUGGGUGCAGUCUAUGAAAUUUUUCGAAAAGCAAACCAAUAACUGACUUCGGUUUUUAGUUCCAUAUAUGUUUUGGUGACACAAGGUGUAUAAGUCCUCUUCGAAAUCUCUAUCUCGUUUUAUUACAUUUUGACGCUAGGGACGCAAAGGUCGGCAGUCUUCGCUUGUGAAAAUUGAACCAUCCUUCGGGUGACGAUCAUCUUUUUGGAAAAAAAGUUUAGUUCUAAAAAGGUUAGUUGUCAAAAGGAAAUGUAACUAUAAGAUCUACAAAUAAAACUUCAGUUUUGAAAAAGGAGGAAAAACUGCUACAUGAAUAGGUUCCUACACUUCCUUGGUGCUACACUUCUGUGGUCUUGAAAACGAGAUCAGUGGCUUGCUAAAUAAUUUACGAUGUCGAUUCUCGAUAUCUAUAGUUUUAGUACCACAUUACUUCAGGCAAUACGCGAGAAACCGUUUCUGCAAUAUAUAUUUUUUUGGAAAACUAAGCAACAAGACCUAAGAUUUAUGUUAAACAAAAAGAAUGAUGACUCUGAAAUGCGAUGGGCAAAUUACGACACCUGAUAUUCAAAGAAUUACGAGGAAUACUAGCUGUAAUUUAUAUUCGAAUUGCGUCUGGGAUCAAUUCACGAAUACGUUAGUCCGGGCAAGUUUUACCGAAGGUUAGACAUCAUUUACAUUUUGAUUUUUUAAAGUUGUAAAAACACAUAUCUAAAAUUGUUAAACGAAAGGACAGAGGACCUACCCGAAACAUCUUCACGUCAAAAAGAGAAUAAAAAGGCUCAGUUGAAAAUGAGGACGGAGACGUAAGAUACGAGGCUUUCCCCUUCUGUGAAAGAUUUAGCAUACAACCGAGCCACCAUCCUCUAAUAAAUCGAUUCACAGAAACGAAGGAAAGACAAGUUAGGGAAACUUCAGACAGGCAGUGUUCGCGUCUCACAGAGAAGUGGUGUACGGCCAAACGACCCUGCACUGUUCAUCUCACAUGGAAAUGUCUGACGCAAACAGUUUACCAAGAUUAUUGCUGUUCACCGGCGCCAUCUUGCCUUUUAUGUGACCAGCAGGACAGGCAAAGAGCGCACGCGGAUUGCCCUUCGACCUAACCUCUAGGAGUCGUGUACAGAGCUCAAAGUAAACUCUACCUGUUUACCUACAUUUGAGGGUUGUAACAACUGUCUACAGCGCUAUCUAACAGUUUCAAGGUUGUCAAGUUGUCGGAAGUUUCCGUCUUAACCCUGUAUUUCAAUUUUCCUCCAUUCCAAUAACCAUGGAACUAUUUGGACUGCGAUCGCUCAUCGAACGUCUGUGCGUCUGUACAUCUUGUUUGUAUAUCAUUUCCCGAAGAAAAAUUUCUCGAAAUUCAGGUUGAAUCCAGAGCCGGCUUGAUGAUGGGUCCUCUGGUCAGAUGAAAAUUGACAAAGAAAGCUCGUCGUUAAGUUAAGUAACGAGCGUUGCCAUCACAUUUCUUGGAAACUAUUCCUCGGAAUUUUACCCCUUUGGGAAUUCGGUCCAGAAACUACGUUAGUACGCUGCUCAACCAACUUUCCGCCACAAAAAUACGGAUAUCUACGACGAUUAUAGUGUUUGGCUGUAUGGAAUUCCCCUGGUUAAAUUCAGAAUCUUCGCUCUACGGGAAACAAGGCAUUAUACUUCGUUCAUGCGACAGCGUGCCAGAAAUACGGAAUAAUUUUUAAAGGGCCUCGGCGCAUACGUCAUUUUGACAUUUAUAGGAUACACAUUCUGCGAGGAUACGUCUCUUAAUGGAUAUGAAUCUUUAUACUAACGUUUUCUCAUUUAGAAAGCAGAUGGUCACGCUACUAGGGAUGGGAGAGAAUCCGUCUACUAGCAAUACGCCAUAAAGGAGAAAGGAAGAAGUACACGGCCUCGGUGCUGUCUUGUCGGGAACAUCUUCGGGAGGCAUUCUCCACUGCCCCAAGUCUGCGGCACUUCGGCCUAAGUCGACUAUGAAUCGAAACAUGGCCACCAUUCGACUUCAAAAUUCUCCGCCCUAAUAAUUCUCAUUCCUCCUUGGAUUAUACAACAUGAUAUCCCCAAACGAAGUGGAUAUUCGUAUUCAAUUGACAGGAUUUAUUUACACCAAUUCUGGAAUAUAAACUUCGAGGGACAUGUCCACGAAAAGACGCCGCCCCAGACUGACCAACGUCCAGAGAAAGGCAAGCACAUCAAUACGGACAGAGUGGGAGAAAACUGCCUGUAGAAUCAUGAAGUGAUGACUAAAAGUUACACAGAAGUAAACCACAAGGCAAAUGGAUAUUCGUACAAUGGCACCAUU